rnacentral:lncRNA from 1 species
AUGUUGAAUAAGCUUCUAUUCCUAGGAUGUCUACUACAUGCUCUAGUGUUAGAAAAAAUAGCAUGUAUUUUACAUCAGUGUAGAAAAAUUUCCAGCAAGAUAGAGAAGAAAAGGCAUGCUGUUACAAUGUAUAAGGUAAGAAGUCAAAGAGAAAAACAUAUUAUAAUAGCUACUAGGAAACAAACCAGAAAAAUGCAUUACCUUCUGAGGACUCACAUCAGAGAAGUUACAGUUGAAGUUAACACUCAGCAUCUGAAGGGAGAAUCUGAGGCCACCAAAUCAAGUAGAGGAUCUGAUCCAGAGAAGCUCUCGAUCAAGUUAUAUGAAGCACUAAAAGAUCACCUUCUCCUCACAUUAACUGACUUUUUAUGUUAUUUUCUGGACUUCAAACCUUUAGCAGAUACUCUGAAGGAAGCUGGUAAUAUUGUUUUAAAGGCUAGGAAAGAGAAAGGUGAUUUUUCAUCAGAUAGGGACAUGCCCCUGUUAGAUACAGAGUGUAGGACACUCGUAGCAGUACUGGCAGCUGCAUUAGAAUCAGCAUUACCUAAAGUACUUGUCAUAGCCUCAGUGAAAAUUGGUCAGAGACAACUGCUUUUAGAUAACUGCCAGAUAUUAAUCACGAGACAUUCAGACUUAACGUUAAAGUUUGGUAUACUAUUUUCAUUGAGAAAGGAAAUAUUAAUAGAUGUAAGAAAUAAAUGGACUGAAGUAGUACUCUGUAAACCCUUAGAACCCUCCCAGCUUUCUAGACAGACAGGGAAUUGUAAUUCACUGUUACCAAUCUUGUUUGCAUUAUUAAGGAAACAAUUUGUACAAAAAGUGAGGAUGAAUAAACUAGAACCACGUUUAAAUGCAAACAAGUUGAUUUAUGAAACAAUGUUAUCUUUGAAGGAAAUCCCAUUAGCAAUUCAGAGUGCUUCAAACCCACUGCAUUUGAGAACAUUUCGGCUUCUAAAAUUAAUUAUUUCAGUUCACAAGCUUUGUGAAUUUCAUGUUCAGGUCAAAAUGAGAUCAGGCUACAAAUUCAUUUUAAGGUGGUCAAACGCCACAGAAAGUACCGGGUAG